rnacentral:rRNA from 1 species
AUUGAACGCUGGCGGCAGGCUUAACACAUGCAAGUCGAGCGGGGAAGGAUAGCUUGCUACCUAACCUAGCGGCGGACGGGUGAGUAAUGCUUAGGAAUCUGCCAUUUAGUGGGGGACAACAUUCCGAAAGGAAUGCUAAUACCGCAUACGUCCUACGGGAGAAAGCAGGGGAUCUUCGGACCUUGCGCUAAAUGAUGAGCCUAAGUCGGAUUAGCUAGUUGGUGGGGUAAAGGCCUACCAAGGCGACGAUCUGUAGCGGGUCUGAGAGGAUGAUCCGCCACACUGGGACUGAGACACGGCCCAGACUCCUACGGGAGGCAGCAGCGGGGAAUAUUGGACAAUGGGCGGAAGCCUGAUCCAGCCAUGCCGCGUGUGUGAAGAAGGCCUUAUGGUUGUAAAGCACUUUAAGCGAGGAGGAGGCUACUAGUAUUAAUACUACUGGAUAGUGGACGUUACUCGCAGAAUAAGCACCGGCUAACUCUGUGCCAGCCGCCGCGGUAAAAC